GAAAUUGAUGAUGAUAUGUAUUUUGAGAACUAGCAUAAGUGGUGUCUGAAUGUACAGAAGACGGCCUUUGGUCGCUGCGAUUAGACGAAGAAGAAUGGUAUGCAGUACUUUGUCUAAGUUCUUUAAUCCCAUAAUCGGUACCGCAGACCAAUGAAGAAUGGAAAGAAAUAGAAACAGGUUUCAGAACUAGGUGGAAUUUCCCUGGUUGCCAUGGCGCUAUAGACGGGAAGCAUGUGAUAAUUCUAGCACCACCGAAUUGUGGAAGUGAAUAUUUUAAUUACAAGGGUACCAACAGUGUGGUUUUGAUGGCUGUGGUUGAUCAUGACUAUUGUUUUCGCUAUGUAAAUAUUGGAGCAAACGGAAGAAACUCGGAUGGGGGGAUUUUUAAAAACAGCCAAUUACGUAGUGAUCUUGAGAAGUUACGUGUUGAAGCCGGGGGAUGAUAAUGAAACGACAGUGACCAAUUUACGUUAUAUUCUAAAUACACAGACGGAAACUAAAUGCUAAUAAUCCUAUAACUAAAUUAAAAUUAGGUGUUGGACGCCAAGAGGAGUUUUAACCGUGGAGGUUCGGGAAUCCUGCUAUUCCAAAAAUACGCCGGCUAGCAUGAUAACUAGGUUUAUCUAAGCUCGUGGUUGUAUAUUAGACCAAAGCUUGAAGGGCAUGUCCACAGGCUAAAACAAAGGAUUUACUUUAACUAUGCCAGUCCCCUUUUAGCAGCGUUAUGUUUGCUUAGCCACUAGCACUUACCCCUUCGUUGUAAUGUCACCCACAAAACAAAACAAUAAAUAAUGUCCAUAAUAAACAUAAAACUCAGUUAACAAACUGUGAUUGCAUUUUGCAAUCUAAUUCAACAUUUGCACUUUCAACGUCUAUGGCGGGUACAUUGUUCACACACCAAACGUAUUUAUCUUUCAAAGACAUGAGCUGGAAUGACUUGCCGAACUCAAUGCAUUAUUAUAAAUAAGAAAAAUAUCCUUAAAAAUGUAGAAAAAGAUGAUGCGCCACCGGGGUUAGAACCCCCGCCCAUAUGAUUGCUACUCCGACGUUGUACCGCCGAGCCAUCAAUGCUAUAAGUUAGACGUGCGAAUUUGUUGAAUACUACGCUCGGCCGAAUCACGCAAUCCAUGCAAAUAUAAACUCUAUUACUUUCUGAAUAUAACUCAACUCACAAUGACCCAGUGAAACGUGCCUUACGAUAACAUAACAUAUUCCUCCUCCCUCAACAAAAAAAAAACAAAAACUUUUUUUUUUUUAAUGUAUAGGCUUGAGAUCUUUAACAUGCCAAUUACCUAUACAUUUGCCGUAUACAUUGUUUAGACGCAUUAUAGUCUCUGACAGCUUGUCUACUAUUAUAGCCCUAUCGUACUUAGGAGCUAGUUUUGCCAUGAACUUAUUCGGAGCGUUUGACAAACAUUUAGCCCUUUUGUAUACCAUCUCCCCUAUCUUAAAAGUAUGAGUUCUACGUUUUUUGUUAUAAACCUGCCGACUGUUUUCAUGUGCCUGCCGCAACCUUCGUCGAACAGAUUCAUAGAUUUCCUCCCGUUGCUGGAGAUUCUCUAUAUACGGCGAUACAUUUAUCGGGUAAUCAUUAUCCUUAUUUUGUAAAAACUGCACUGAAUUUGGCCGAUCUACAUUCGGUACACGGGUCUCUCUGCCCAAAAACAAGUACGAAGGAGUGUGUCGUGUCGUUUCAUGUACUGCAGUUCUUAUAGCAUUACCAAUCUGAGGUAGGUUGACAUCCCACAUGUUAUGUUUCCCUGACUUUACAAACGUCGAAAUCAUAGUGCCUACCACUCUGUUGACUCUCUCAGUAGGAUUGCUUUGGGGAUGAUAGUUCGGCGUAAACCAUAAUUUGCUAUUGUAUUUCAUCGCCAAAUCCUUAAACAGCUGUGAACAGAACUGACGACCGUUGUCACAUAUGAUAGCUUUAGGUGCACCAUAUAGCAAUAACUGACUUUCCAGUAUAUCGCAUAUUUUUUCUGCCUUUCCGGUCCUUAAUGGAAAGAGAAGCACAAAUUUGCUGAACCAACAUGUAAUCACGAGUAACAUAGUGUUGCCUGAUUUGCUUUUUGGAAAUGGACCCAUCAAGUCUAACGAUAUUAUUUGCCAUGGCCGUGUAACCUCCCUAUGCUCACCCAUGAGUCCUAAUGGGCCUUGCUGCGACACCUUAUGUCUUGCACACGUAUCACAUUUCGUUACAUAUUGCUUCACUUCUUCCCACAAAUUAGGCCAAAAAUAUGUUUGUUUUAUUUUUAGAUACGUCUUACGAAUACCCAAGUGACCAGCCGUCUCAAUGUCAUGACACUCUGCGAAGACCUUACUUCUCAAUGCCUCGGGCACGUACAAUUUCCAAACAUCUUCCUGGCUCGGAAACGAACUUAACUCUAUCCUUUUGUACAACAAUCCAUUCAUGACUUUCCACUCGUGUGAUGUCUUAUUUUGUACUUCCAUUACCUUAGUUCUAUACCAAUCAUCUUUGUGGCGUUCUAAAAUGUCAAUAAUAUUUAUUUCCUGAGUAGUGCUGCAAAUCGAACCCCGUGACAAUGCAUCAGGUACAACGUGGCUUUUGCCAGGCCUCUGUACUAUCUCAAAACUAAACUGCUGCAGUUUCAUGGCCCAUCUUGCUAACCUACCGUGCGGGUCUUUCAUCUUAUGUAACCAUUGCAACGCACUAUGAUCAGUCACAACUGUGAAAUGUACUCCAUCAACAUAUGGCCUAAACUUUUCAAUUGCAAAUACCAUACUCAGCAGUUCUCUUUCGGACGUUGAAUAUUUCUUUUCCCUUUCGUUAAGUUUUCUACUUAAAUACGCGACCGGAAGUUCAACAUCUCCCUGAUUUUGACAUAAAACCGCGCCAAUCCCGCUAUUACUAGCAUCACAUUGGAUAGUAAAGGGUUUAGAAUAAUCCGGGCAUGUCACAACAGGCGUCGUGGUAAGUAAGGUCUUCAUUUUCAAAAAUGCCAUUUCUGCCUCUUUGGUCCAACAUAGUUGUUUCUUCUUUUUCCCUUUUGUAAGGUCAUGGAGCGUAGCAGCUACCAUGGCAAAGUCUUUGACAAAUCUUCUGUACCAACUGGCCAAACCGAUGAAUCGCUUUAACUCUGAGUAAUUUCGUGGCCUAGGAAAGUUAAUGAUUGCUGCCACCUUUUCAGGAUCUGUCCUCAGCCCAUUCUUAUCAACUAUGUACCCUAAAUAUCGUAAGCUCGAGCGGGCAAACUUGCAUUUAUCUACAUUUAUCGUCAAAUUUGCUUUCUUGAGAAUUUCCAACACCUUAUUUAUCAAUUGUAUAUGCUCCUCAAAACUCGUAGAACAAAUAACGAUGUCAUCCAAAUAUGCCCAAACCUUAUCUUCGUUUGACUGAAAGAAUACAUCCAUUAACCUUUGCUGCGUCUGUGAGGCAUUAACGAGUCCAAAUGGCAUGACCUUAAAGUGAAAUAAUCCCUUGCCCCCCACAGCAAAAGCAGUUUUCUCUUUGCUGCUCUCAUCUAACGGAAUCUGCCAAAACGCCGAUCGUAAAUCAAUCGUGCUUAAAAACCUAGCAUUACGUAAACUAUCUAACACGUUCGUUACCCGAGGCAGUGGAUACGUAUCACGUUUUGUUACUCGAUUUAACUGCCUGCUGUCAAGACACAGCCUAUUAUCCCCAUUAGGCUUUUUAACGAUAAGAACUGGUGAGCCCCAUGCACUAUGAGAUGGUUCCACUACAUCAUCCGCUAACAUCUUAUCCAAUUCUUUUAUGAUAUCUGCCUUAACAGUUGAUGAAAAAUUAUAUUGUUUCUGAUGAAUCGGUUUAGCAUCACCAGUAUCAAUACUAUGAGUUAAUAUCGAUGUUCUACCUAACCCAUUACCAAUUUCUAAUCGCAUACGUCUUAUUAUCUGCUCUAAUUCUUUUUUUUGUUCCACGUUUAGAUCUUCACCAGAAACAAUGACCGGUUUAUUCACGGGGACGUCACCUAAAUUCAUUACCUCGUUUUUAUUUCCCCUGAACUGUAAUGAUAUACCAAACUCUUCAAAGAAAUCUUUACCCAAUAUCAUCUGAUGACCAGACCUCGGACAGAGUGUGCCGUUUUUACGUCAUUAAUGUCAAGUGUAGAUGUUAAUAUAGAUAUGCCUCAAGAUGAAAUAUUAAAAAGAAUUCAUGAAUAAUAAUUAAACAAAAAUGACAGUGCAUUAUGUACAAAACGAGUAAGUAUUAUUUAUUUAUUCAAAUUUUUCUUUGUUAUUGGUUAUUGUAAUAAAGAACUAUAAUUUU